GACGAACGCUGGCGGCGUGCCUAACACAUGCAAGUCGAGCGGAGACUGAUGAAGGAAGUUUUCGGAUGGAAUUCAUUAGUUUUAGCGGCGGACGGGUGAGUAACGCGUGAGCAACCUGGCUCUUACAGGGGGAUAACACAUCGAAAGGUGUACUAAUACCGCAUAAGACCACACUGCUGACAUGGCAGAGGGGUCAAAGGAGCAAUCCGGUAAGAGAUGGGCUCGCGUCUGAUUAGAUAGUUGGUGAGGUAACGGCCCACCAAGUCAACGAUCAGUAGCCGACCUGAGAGGGUGAUCGGCCACAUUGGAACUGAGAAACGGUCCAA
rnacentral:rRNA from 1 species